AACGAACGCUGGCGGCAGGCCUAACACAUGCAAGUCGAACGAGGUAGCAAUACCUAGUGGCGCACGGGUGAGAAACGCGUGGGAAUCUCCCUUCUAGUACGGGAUAACACCGGGAAACUGGUGCUAAUACCGUAUGACCCCUCCGGGGGAAAGAUUUAUCGCUAGAAGAUGAGCCCGCGUAAGAUUAGCUAGUUGGUGAGGUAACGGCUCACCAAGGCUACGAUCUUUAGCUGGUCUUAGAGGACGAUCAGCCACACUGGAACUGAGACACGGUCCAGACUCCUACGGGAGGCAGCAGUGGGGAAUCUUGGACAAUGGGGGAAACCCUGAUCCAGUCAUGCCGCGUGAGUGAUGAAGGCCUUCGGGUUGUAAAGCUCUUUUGUGUGGAAGAUAAUGACUGUACCACAAGAAUAAGCCCCGGCUAACUUCGUGCCAGCAGCCGCCGUAA
rnacentral:rRNA from 1 species